rnacentral:rRNA from 1 species
AAUUAAACGGCCGCGGUACCCUAACCGUGCAAAGGUAGCGUAAUCACUUGUCUAUUAAUUGUAGACCCGUAUGAAAGGCAAAAUGAGGGCCUAACUGUCUCUUAUAAUAAAUCAAUUAAACUGAUCUCCCAGUCCAAAAGCUGGGAUAUUCACAUAAGACCAGAAGACCCUGUGAAGCUUAAACUAAACUAUUAAACCAUAUAAUAACUCCUUUCGGUUGGGGCGACCUUGGAAAAAAAGAAAACUUCCAAAUAAGUGACCUCCAUCACAAUACAAGGCCAACAAGCCAACACUAGACCCAGCACAGCUGACAACUGAACCAAGUUACUCCAGGGAUAACAGCGCUAUCUUCUUCAAGAGCCCAUAUCAAAAAGAAGGUUUACGACCUCGAUGUUGGAUCAGGACAUCCUAUUGGUGCAGCCGCUAUUAAGGGUUCGUUUGUUCAACGAUUAACAGUCCUACG